rnacentral:hammerhead_ribozyme from 1 species
AUCCAGCUGAUGAGUCACAAAUAGGACGAAACUCGAAUCCUGUAU